rnacentral:rRNA from 1 species
UACGUAGGCAGCGAGCGUUGUUCGGAAUUACUGGGCGUAAAGCGUGCGUAGGCGGUUCGUUAAGUCUGUUGUGAAAGCCCCGGGCUCCAACCUGGGAAUGGCAAUGGAUACUGGCGAGCUAGAGUGUGUCAGAGGAUGGUGGAAUUCCCGGUGUAGCGGUGAAAUGCGUAGAGAUCGGGAGGAACAUCAGUGGCGGAAGGCGGCCAUCUGGGACAACACUGACGCUGAGGCACGAAAGCGUGGGGAGCAAACAGG